GAAAGCCUGACGGAGCAAUACCGCGUGAGGGACGAAAGCCUGUGGGUUGUAAACCUCUUUUGUUAGGGAAGAUAAUGACGGUACCUAACGAAUAAGCAUCGGCUAAACUCCGUGCCAGCAGCCGCGGUUAAGACCGGAGGAACCAAGCGUUUUCCGGAAUUUUUGGGCGUUAAAGCGUACGUAGGCUGUUUCAUAAGUCUGUUGUCAAAGCGCGAGGCUUCAACCUUGUAAAGGCAAUGGAAACUGCGAGACUAGAGAGAGAUAGGGGCAGGAGGAAUUCCAGGUGUAGCGGUGAAAUGCGUAGAUAUCUGGAAGAACACCAGUGGCGAAAGCGUCCUGCUGGAUCUCAACUGACGCUGAAGUACGAAAGCUAG
rnacentral:rRNA from 1 species